CCACCAACCUCAAAAAUCUUUUGAAAAAAAAACCUCAAAAAUCCGACCCACACACAUAUAACCGGACCCAACUUCCUCGCGAUUAGAGCGCAGAAAGAAAGAAAAACAGAGAGGAGAGAGAAAGAGGGGAGAGAGACAGAGGAGAGAGAGAAUCUCAGUCACAGACUCGCAGCUAAGUUGGAGAGUUUGUUGCUCAACGAACGCUUCAACGGCAAAUAAAAUUCGCGGCCAAAAAAAUAGUCCGCCAUUUUUGUCUCGCUAUCUCUCCUCUUUUCUCUUCCGUGGAGCUUCCAGACCCCCGCACAAGACCCACAUUCGCCCAUUUUUCUCCUUCCAAUUUUCCCCUUCCGAACUCCCCCAAUCUUUUUCUUCUCUUUUCUCUCUCGAUUGCCCCCCCCCAUUUGCCAGAAUUAGGGUUAGGUUUCGUCGUGAAUCGUCCGGAUUUCGAUCGCGCCACAGAUGUGUAAUUGAAGAGGAGGAGGAGGAAGGAGAAGAAGAAGAUCGGGUCCUCAGGUUCGAAGAUCUGGGGCUUGGGUUUUUCUCGAGAAAGUGAGAGAGAGAGAGAAAAUGAGCGCGUCCAGGUUCAUAAAGUGCGUCACGGUUGGGGACGGGGCUGUGGGCAAGACGUGUCUGCUUAUCUCCUACACCAGCAACACCUUCCCCACCGAUUACGUGCCAACUGUUUUCGACAAUUUCAGUGCAAACGUGGUCGUGAAUGGGAGCACUGUUAACCUGGGGCUAUGGGACACAGCUGGACAGGAGGAUUACAAUAGAUUAAGACCUUUGAGUUAUCGUGGCGCUGAUGUGUUUAUACUGGCGUUCUCUCUCAUCAGCAAAGCCAGCUAUGAAAAUGUGUCCAAGAAGUGGAUCCCGGAAUUGAAGCAUUAUGCGCCUGGUGUUCCGAUCAUUCUCGUUGGAACAAAGCUUGAUCUUCGGGACGACAAGCAGUUCUUUAUUGACCAUCCUGGUGCUGUCCCAAUUACUACCGCUCAAGGAGAGGAGCUCAGGAAGCUAAUUGGAGCACCAGCUUACAUCGAGUGCAGUUCAAAAACUCAGCAGAAUGUGAAAGGGGUCUUUGAUGCAGCCAUCAGGGUUGUCCUUCAACCUCCGAAGCAGAAGAAAAGGAAGGCGGCAAGGGGAAGGCAUGCUCCAUAUUGUGAUUUGGAAAAUAGGUGUAAAGAGAUAAUGACCAGCCAUCCUGCGUGUACUCCCUCACACCCCCUUGUUCCCUAAAUCUCGUUUUUCCCUUUUUGUCCUGAAGAAGUUGGAGUCAGUAAGUUGUCGCGUUUGACGAUCGUAUGGAUCUCUCUGUGAAAGCAUCAGGUGGUUUGGUGUUGCAUUCUUGGAACUGUUGUGAUCCCUUAAUUGUUGAAUUCUAUGGUUGGCAACUUUUUCUUAACUCCGGUUUUGAUUUUCGUAUAUUGUUUUAAUAGACUGGACUCCCAGUUAGGAAGA